rnacentral:lncRNA from 1 species
UCUAAUUGGGCCUUUGACCUAUUUCACCUGUCCUAAUCUAGUUUUCGAGCCCUUGGCUCGAGUCUCACUCCACCUGUAUUAAAUACAACUUUGGCUUCGAGGCCCAAAUGAAUGAAUAAAGAAAUAUGGAUAAAUAAAUAAAUAAAAGACGACAAUAAAUAUGUGAAGAAGACGACAAUAAGUAAAGAAAGGGAAAUGAGGCUCUCAGGUCUUUUUGUCACUUCGAAUAUGGGACUUUAGUCCGUGCUUCUUCCUUCAACUCCUUGCAUCCAAUAUGCCAUAAGGUCAGUAUUUAGGCUUCUUUCGAAGGACUCAACAGAGGUGGUGGGCCUUAAUGGCCUAUGAGGGAAAUGCGCAGAGAAAUUGAGUCCAUUGGACUCAACCACGAGGGGUUCAUGCAAAAGAAAAGGGGGAGAAUUAGCAAGGCUCUCUUAAACUCAAGUAAAAAGC